CCCCAAAGUUGGACGUUCCCCAGCUCUUGGUGGCCCCAAAGCUGGAUGUUCCCCAGCUCCAAUGUCACUCGUGGUUGGAUGUUUCUCGGCUCCGGCAGCCCCAAAGUUGGACGUUAUCCAGCUCUUGGUGGCCCCCCAGUUGGAUGUUCUCCGUCACCGAUGUCACCCGUGGUUGGACCUUUCUCGGCUCCGGUGGCCCCAAAGUUGGACGUUCUCCAGCUCUUGGUGGCCCC